rnacentral:lncRNA from 1 species
CACCCUCCCUCACCUCUCAUCCCUACCCCGCAUCCCAUACCCAUACCCGCACCCCAUACCCACACCCACACUCCCACACCCUUUUCUUCUCUGGUACAUCAUCAAACAACAAUACCCAUUGAAUUUGACUCGAAAAAUUGAUUGUCAGUUUCUUCCAUGUGUUGUGAAGUUAAAACUUCAUCUACUUCUGCUCUAGCCAAAAACAUUGCUAAGUCCUCAACAACAAUUGAAAUGUCUAAAGUCGUGUCGUCUGCUGAUUCUAUUAACAUUACAAAGUCAUUUACCACAUCAUCUGCUGGAAAACAAACAGAUGAUAAUAAGACGGAAGUCAUUUUUUUUUCUCUGUUUUUUCUAUCCAUGGCUAAAGUGAUUUAACUUCUUAACGAAUAUGGCGUUUAGCUUUACCAAACACGAGCUGUUUUCCGACUCUAAGAUCCUACUUACUUCUACACAUGGAAGAAAUUGACAAUUAAUUAAGAACAAUGGAUUGAAAUAGUGUUUUAAUAGAGGAAUUAUCUUAAAUUGGUAUUUUCAUAACUGUUAUUUGAUGGUUCUAAUGGAGUAAUUGGAAAAAGAAAUGGAGGGGAAAGCAUUUUUCAUGGCAUGGGUGGAGGUUGAAAGGAGAUAAAGAGAGGGUGGGGGGA